UUUCGUUUGCAGUUUAUUGAAAUAGGGGCUCAGAGAUGGUGAUUUCUUAAACUGGAAAACUUUAGUUCAGAGUGAGCCACACACCAACCUUACCUUCAGUAAAUUCUUUCCAUCACUUUUGCUGCUCUGCCUCAGAAGAUCUUCACUCCCAGAUGUUGGGUGGAGGAGAGUGGAGCUCUCUGACCAGCCUGGACUGCUAUCUGCACAAUACCUUCCAGGGCCAUGAAGGGCACUAACCAGAGCCAGAUCCCGUGAAUGAGUUCACUAUUAAGCACUGAAAGGCUACCUGAGACUGCGUUUCAAAGCAAGAACCUUGUACAACCAUGUUUUGUGUAUGUCUGAAACACAUUGUGCCUGAACUGUAUCCCAUGCUUUUGUUAGAUCAAUGAAGACACUCAGCAGAUCCAUGGUUUGUUCGAUAUGUUCUUCUUGUAUUUGCCUGAUACUAGAAAUCAUGUCUCUGGUGCUAUGGCCAGGUCUGAAUCCGGACUGAGUCUCCGGUAGUUUGGCUUCUGAGACAGAUGAAAUCAGUCGGUUCAGGAGGACACGAGCAAAGACUUUUCCAGCGACAGAUAGGAGAGAGAUCCGACAGUAGUUACCACAGACCACUUUGCUGCCUUUAUUUUUAAAUAAAGGAAUAAUUGUGGCAUCUUUGAAGUCUUGUGGCAUUUCUUCGUUGUCCGAGAUGCCAGUAAGGAUCCUCUGGAGUGCCGUUACCACCUUUGGACCCGCAGAUUUAUAUAUUUCUGCAAGUAUUCCAUCUCUGUCUGAGGACUUUCCUGACCUCCUCAUACUGAUUGCCUUUUCUAUUUCUUCAAGUGAGGAUGGUGAGUCAGAGUGGUGCUGAAUAGGCUUUUGAAGUAUCUGAUUAAUAGCACUUGUUUCAAUUGAGGAUGGUCUGUUCAGUAGUUGGCUGAAAUGUUCAGCCCAUCUCUGUUCCAUGCCAUGUUUGUCUUUGACUGUCCUGCCAUCAGCCAUCAUGAGCGAACCUGUGCCCACCUCUGAAGGUCCAAAGACUAGCUUCAAGGAAUCAAAGAACUUCUUUGUUUCAUGUUAGAGACUAACCAAUUAUUUGAGCAUAAGCUUUCGUGAGCUACAGCUCACUU